rnacentral:rRNA from 1 species
UACAGAGGUCCCAAGCGUUGUUCGGAUUCACUGGGCGUAAAGGGUGCGCAGGUGGUCGGGUAAGUCUGACGUGAAAUCCCGCAGCUUAACUGCGGAAUGGCAUUGGAUACUAUUCGGCUAGAGGGUUGGAGGGGGGACUGGAAUUCUCGGUGUAGCAGUGAAAUGCGUAGAUAUCGAGAGGAACACCAGUGGCGAAGGCGAGUCCCUGGACAAUUCCUGACGCUGAGGCACGAAAGCUAGGGGAGCAAACAGG